UGCCCCAUAGCCACAGCCCAGCUGGUUAAGGCGUUCGACUGUUGGCAAGGAUCAUCCAACCAAACUUCGAGUUGAUUGGUGAGAUGAGAAGUACUAUCGGGAGAUCAAGAGUUCGAUCCUUUCUGGGGCAG